rnacentral:rRNA from 1 species
CUCAUGGAGAGUUCUAUCCUGGCUCAAGAUGAACGUUGGCGGCAUGCUUAACACAUGCAAGUCAGAUGGGAAGUGGUUUUUCCAGUGGCAGACGGGUGAGUAACGCUUAAGAACCUGCCCUUGGGAGGGGAACAACAGUUGGAAACGGCUGCUAACACCCCGUAGGCUGAGGGGCUCGUGUCUGAUUAGCUAGUUGGUGAGGCAAUAGCUUACCAAGGCGAUGAUCAGUGGCUGAUCAUCUCUCUCUUUAGCUCUAUGUCUCUUAUCUCUAGGAGGUCUUCCUCCACUAGCAGGUUUUUUCGGAAAAGAGAAAAUUUUAGAGUUCAAAUAAGAGGAUUUUGUUGAUUCAUUUGUCGAUCUAAUUGAGAAGAACCUAUGAUUAGCUUUUCAGGAAAUUUCCAAAUGAACAAUUUCAAUGAAAUCUUUCAAUUUCUUAUUUCCCGAAAUGCCUAUGCUUUAUUUUUCUGAAGGUGGGAGAAAAGAUAAAACUUAUUAUUAAUUUAAUCCAAAUUAGAGUUUAGUGACUGGAGUGAAGUCGUAACAAGGUAGCCGUACUGGAAGGUGCGACUGGAUCACCUCUUUU